UAAUAUGUAACUUAUAGGUAAAGUAAUAAGCUUUUAACUUAGAAAAAGUUGGUUCAAAUCCAAUCAUAUUAA
rnacentral:tRNA from 1 species